rnacentral:rRNA from 1 species
GUGCAAGCGUUAUCCGGAAUCAUUGGGCGUAAAGCGCCUGUAGGUUGUUUAAUAAGUCCGUUGUUAAAGACUAGGGCUUAACCCUAGGAAAGCGAUGGAAACUGAUAGACUUGAGUAUGGCAGGGGUAGAGGGAAUUUCUAGUGUAGCGGUGAAAUGCGUAGAUAUUAGAAAGAACACCGGUGGCGAAAGCGCUCUACUGGACCAUUACUGACACUGAGAGGCGAAAGCUAGGGGAGCGAAAGGGAUUAGAUACCCCUGUAGUCCUAGCCGUAAACGAUGGAUACUAGAUGUUGCGUUUAUUAUGCAGUAUCGUAGCUAACGCGUUAAGUAUCCCGCCUGGGGAGUACGCUCGCAAGGGUGAAACUCAAAGGAAUUGACGGGGGCCCGCACAAGCGGUGGAGCAUGUGGUUUAAUUCGAUGCAACGCGAAGAACCUUACCAGGGCUUGACAUACUACAGAUCUUUUUGAGAAAGAAGAGUGCCUUCGGGAAUGUAGAUACAGGUGGUGCAUGGCUGUCGUCAGCUCGUGUCGUGAGAUGUUGGGUUAAGUCCCGCAACGAGCGCAACCCUCGUUUUUAGUUGCCAAUUUAUUGGGAUCUCUAGAAAGACUGCCCGGUGACAAACCCGGAGGAAGGUGAGGAUGACGUCAAGUCAGCAU